UCUCCUCUUUCUCCUCUCUAAGAAAAAUGGAGAUAAACUGAUUUUGAUUUUGUGAACAUAGAUCAAACCCAGUUACAGAAUCCUCUGUUACUUAUCUAAAUCAUCAAAGUCAUUAACUGAUUUUGUUUUUGUAAACUUAGAAAGCGGUAUAAAAAACCCUAUUUACAAAAAUCAAAAUCUUUGAUUUUGUAAACCUGGAAAUUAAUUUUCACUCUUAGCUUGAAACUCUUAGUAAAAGAUUGAAUUUUUAGAAGUAAAAACCCUAGAAGAUCUCUAACCUCAGAAGAAGAUCGAAAUGCAAAUUAUAGAAGUUUCAAGUACAAAUCCUUGAAGAUUCAGCUAAGAAGUUUUGGAUUUGUAGAAUCCUCAAGCUUAAAGUGGGUAUGUUUCAAAGCUUUUCAUGGAUCUGUUAUGGGAUAAGAAUCACUAAAGCAACAAUCUAAAUUACUCGUUAUCCUGGUGUUUCUGCCUACGAUAACAACAUACACAGGAAGUUAUAGGAGCUUGAGGGCAUGGGCCAAUGUUUUCAUGGUAAGAGGUUUCUUUGUCAAGUAGCUAUGGACUUAUGGUGUUGUCAUGCCUGAACACCAUUGGCAGUUUCAGAUAUUUUUUCUUUCCUUCUCUUUUAGGAGGCAGAAAUGGUGAAAACUACAGUACCCUGUAAUAAAUCUGGAUGGGAAUAGAUUCUUUGCAUUACAUGAACCCCUAUUAGAAAGUGAGAAAUUAUUCUAUGAUGGACCGGUCUCUCAAUGUUCUAACUUGAGUGGAAGCAGGACCUACUCUGAGGUUGACGGAAUUCAAGGUAUUUUGACAGCAUACGCCGACGCCCUGCAUAAUGUACAAUUGAUAUAAUGUAUUAUGCUGUAUUUAGAAAUUGAUGUACUCUCACUUGGGAGAUUUGGUUCCUUACACGAGGCUGUUGGAGUUGGUUUGAUGGUGUUUCAACAUUUUGGAGGAAUCAAUGGAGUUCCAUUUUACCUAAGCCACGUAUUCACCUGUUGGGUUGAUUGCUUCCAUGCACUGCGGAGGAUCGAGCCUUUUCAAGCAAGGACUUUCUUCGUUUUUUGAUAACAAUUACCAACAUACUUCUGCGAUUAUACAAAAGUUCAGAAUUUCUGUUGUCAAGUCAUGGAGUGUUAUCAUCCACUCUUUUCUAGGGUUUACUACCUGAAGCAUGCAUUCACGAUGAAGUGUUACUCUCAGCUUUCCUCAAUCAGUUAUCAACAGUCUCGCCUGGUCUAUUACCAAAUUUGUCCGCUUCCGUUCGUGAGAUACAAGAAAAAUUCAGUUGAGGCCAAAGAAAAAGAUCAAGUAGAUGCAAUCCUGAAAAUUUUGGUCUAGUUUUAGUAUCACAUAUCGAAUCAUGUCUUUCAAGCCAGGUGUAAAAGCUAAGCCUUUGAAGCAACCCAAGGCACAACAUAAAGAAUAUGAUGAGACUGACUUGGCGAAUCUUCAGAAGAGUUAAGAAAAGGGAAACUUUAUGUUUGUAGAGACAGGCCUGUUAUCCAUAGUUUAUUUUGUUAGAAUUCAGUCAUUUUAUAUCUAUAAUUGUAUUGAUUGAUUGUGUG